UCUUUGCAACCUAUUCUCGAACGACGCCAACGUCGCUCGACGCUGAAUGUUGCCACCUCGCCGAACGCCUCCACCUCGUCGAACGCCGCCACCUCGCCGAACGCCCCACCUCGCCAGGGAUUCGAAGAUCUCCUUCCUCCCCGAAUCUGAACUCCUCCGCCUUCCCCAGUAGCGUCGUACCGGUGCCCUAGGUAUUCCAACUGGAUCACGAACCGCUGCGUCUCCUCCCCACACUCACCACCAGUAUGAUGAAAAGUAGUACAGUGGAUGUCCAUAACCAAGAAACAAAUGAUGUAGAAUACGGAAGAGGCAAGAAUAAGCAAUUUUGGACAAAGGAGAAAAGUUGGGUCUUAAUUAGAUGUUUACAAGAUAUGGCCAUUGAUCCUCUUUGGAAAACAGAUGGUGGUUUUAAAAACAAUUAUAUGAACAAGAUAAGAAGAUUAAUGGUGCAAAAGUUACCCCAGUUGAUAAUUGAAGUGAAGCACAUUGACUUUAGGAUCAAGUUCUUGAAGGGAAGGUAUCAUGCUAUUAAUGAAAUGUGCAAGCAGAGUGAAUGUUCUUGGAAUGAUGUUGAAAAAAGAUUGCAUGUGAAUUUACAUGGUAUACCGAAUGGAUUAAGAUUCACAAAGAUGCUAAGGGCUUAUAUAAUGUUUCAUUCCCUUACUUUACGGAUUUGGAUAUUGUGUAUGGCAAGGAUCGAGCAACGGGGGAUGUGGCUGAAGAUUCACUUGCUGUUGAUAAGAAUUUAGGAAAUGUUGAUGUUACUUUGACUGUGACAGAUGAGAGUGAUUCCAACACUGAAAUUGAAUUUUUAUCUACCAUGGAGUCACUACCAUCUAAUUCUUCCAGUUCAUGUGCUGCCAAGAAAAAAUGUCCUCAUCAAGUUCAUAAAGCUUCAAAGAAGACCAAGUUUGCACCUGUGAAGAAUGCUGAAACUGAGUACAAGGAAUUUAAUGAUGAAAUUCGGGGUUUUAUGAAGAGUCUUGAUGGUCACCUUAGCACAAUGUCAACUUGGAUGCAAGGUACAACCUCAAGAAUGCCACAAGUUCUUGAACUGCUGGAAAAGCAUGGGUUCAGUGGUCCGGAUAAGUACAAGGCUUCUAAAGCAAUUUGUCAAGAUCCUUUGAAUGUUGACUUAUUAUUCAGUUUAGAUUCCACUGAAGUGAGAGAGAUUAUGUGCUCACUUUAAUAUAACUAAAGUCGAUUAAG